CAUGUUGCCCAGGCUGGUCUUGAACCCCCGGGCUCAAAGAAACUGCCUAUCUUGGCCUCCCAAAGUGCUAGGACUACAGGCAUGAGCCAACAUGCUCAGCCUGGCAUGCCCAGCCUAACUUACUAAAGUCUUUUGUUCUGCCAUAGAUUUUGUUAAGAGAUUAUAAGGACAAAUUACAUCCUAGGAGAAAAUCAUCGCAAAUUUCAUUUGAACAGAGUUUGUAUCCAGAGUAUGUAAGGAACACUCAAAAGUCAACAAUAGGAAAAAAAAAAAAAACCCAAUAAACAAUGGUAAAAGAUGUAAACAGAUACUUUCCCAAAAAAAGGUACAUAGAUGUCAGAUAUGCACAUGAAAAUAUGCUCAACAUGAUUAAUCAUUAGAGAGUUGUGAAUUAAAACUAUAGUGCAAUACCAAUACACACGUAUUAGAAUGUCUUGAACAAUUGCAGAAUAAAUGCUGGUGAGGAUGUGGUGGAACAAUGGAACUCUUACACAUUUCCUCUGGAAAGCAAAUGGUUACACCUCUACAGCACAAUAGAAGACACUGUAUAAUUAACAGUAUAUCCGGUUACACAAAGUAGAAUGUACACCUCCUGUAUUAUCAGCAUUCUCACUGCUGGAAACUUAUAUGUCACACACACGCAGACGUGUACAUAAAAAGUGAGAGCUGCUUUAUUCAUAACUGCCAAAAUUUGAAAGUCCCCAGAUUUCCUUCAACUGAUUGACAAACUGCUUUACAUGCAUGUAAUGAAAUGAUUAAAAACACCCUUGAUUAAUGCAACAAAAAUAGAUGAAUAUAAAAAUGAAAGAUCAAAAGCUAUAUAUUAUAUGAUUUUAUUCAUAUGACUCUGAGAAAGGCAAAAUUAUAGGAGAAAAAGAGAUUGCUGGUUGCCUGAGGCUGGAAAAUGGGAAGAGGUAUAAUCAGUGAGGAGGUUCCAUGGGAAAAUUUGGGGAGUGAUGGUUUCACAGUGGGGAACACAAGGCUGUGCAUUUGUCAAUCCCGACAGAACUGUACAACAGAAAAGUAUGUUUUUGCUGUACAUAAACUUCUAUAAGAUCUGCCAGGCUGUGAGCACAGAGAUGAAGUUCAUACUCGGACAAAUGAAUCUGCCUGUGUUAGGAAUGAAGCUCACAGUUACACAGAAGGGGGUGUGCAGAGAGAUGGCCAGAGUUGCAAUAUGCUGACUUGAUUUUGUAAAGCUAAAGAUCAGAACUGCAAUUUUAGUUUUGACUAUUCUGUUUAUUUCUAUCAUCUUGAUACGAAGGGAAAUGAUAUCUAUGGACAUCCACAUUUCUCUAACAAUUUGUUAUUUGAUCUAGAACCUGACAUUUCUCUCUAUUUUCUGAUUUGCCGUGUCCAACUGCCUCUACUUGGCUUUCAGGCAAUAUUCACCAGCAUUAGGACCCACCUGACGUCAUAAACUUUAGACUCUCAUAACUUCUCUCAGUUCAUUCAUUUUGCCCCCUUUACAUGCAGCACGGCCCUUCCGCUGCCAGAUCAGAGCAUAUUCCCUUGAAGUUUUUAAUUCACCUUGCUCUGAAAUUUGCCUCCACCUGCUCAUCUAUGGCCUCUCCCUGCCCAUUUCUGAACUCUCCUCCGGCCUCCUGCUUCUGCUGAUGGUGACUGGCGUGUAGCUAACACGAAGAGAGGGUUUUAUGUGCAGGUGUUUUUCCUGGUGUUAUAGUAGCACACGUAAUCCUCAUCUCACAUUUCAAGGCACUUUCUUCUCUGGAAUUUUACGGUAUGAUCUAUACAGUUUAUAAACGUGGGUCAGAGACUUCAUGUCCAUAUCAUAUAUAUGUCAAAGUCAUUUAUUAAGAAGCCCGGGAGUGACCUUUACAGGAAAAACAGUUUCUGGAUGGUAAGGCCUUACGUUGUGACUGCUGCAUACAUACUUAAAGAUGAUAUGUUUCAAUUUGUAAGUUUUCAGAGGUGGAGCUGAAGAACCAGGUAAUAUGUUAUUGCCAUACUGAAAACCAUGCUUAUUACAUUGACUUAUUUUCUCUCAUAUGACAUAUUGCACUUUUAAUUUUUAAAUAUGUAUUGGGAAAUCAUGAAUAUAUGUAUUUACAUAUGUGUUUGUGUGUGUGUGUGUAUGUGUGUGUCUGAAAAUUAUGAUACUUGCUUUGAAGAAACUAUUAAUGUCUGCCUAUCUUGUUUAAAAAAAAUAAUUUGAGCUGAAAAUCACAAAUAUGUGCUGAUUUUCUACCAAUGUGGUGCAGUGGGAGUGUAGAAGGUAAGGUUUCUGAAUUCAAAGAAUUCUUUCCAUAUGUUUGGGUGGGGGGAUGCCAAGCGGGUGCACACACACACACACACACACCCUCUACAGCACAGUAAAAGACAUUGUAUAAUUAAGAUUUGCACUGAUGAAGGUGACUGCCAAAAAUAUAUAUAUAUAUUUGAGUUCAGAAAAGGGUUUGCUGACUGGCCAAUGUGUACUGACUAUUUGCUGAAUUUUUCCAAAAACAGAACGCAGUAGUCCUUGGACUACAGAUAAAAUCUUCAUGCUCAGAGGUAAAAAAAAAAAAAAAGGCAGCUCAGACAGAAGACACACUAUUAGUAAAAGCCUAGAAGGGGAAGUUUGCGUGGCAAGGCAGGGCGUGCUUGGACCCCUCACAGCGAGGCAGCAAUUUGUUUUCUACAUUGUGAGCUAAAGCUUCCCACCAACAGAGCAAUUGUGUAUGUGCUGUAGUCUUAACUUUGAAAAUUUAGAGUGACAGACCUUUGCUCUCAUCCUCGGACCUAAAGGAAAAGAGAACAAUAGGCUCAUAAGCGAAAACAAUGGCAUAGUCCCUCGUCAGCUAAAAUGUGUUAUUUAUUACCUAAAAUUAUAGUAAGUUGGUUUAUUAAUAACGGGCUUCCUACUGAACACUUCCUCUGAGUCCAUUCAGGAAGACUUUUAGAAGACCCUGAAAACAAAAUGGAGUGAUUCAACUAAAAAUAGAAAAAUAAAUGGAUGUCAGUUCUGCCCAUUGAAACAGAGGGAAAAAAAGGCCCUCUGGUUGCUAUAGAUGUGAGCACCUGCUUUCUCUACCCGACUCAACCUGUGCUUAAGAUGCCUAAUCAGGGCCUCCAUUCCCUGUGGUUAAUCAGUAUUCAAGUACCUUAUUUAAUUACAUGGCAACGAUUCCUUUGUAAUUCCUUUGCUUUCCGCAGACAUACCUAGUAACCUUUGUUCAAACCAUAGUGCGUUUCCAAUUAAUAUAUCAAAAGGCGCAAGCUUAAACUUUGACAUUCGUAGAAACCUUUGACUUAGAAGUAUUUUUUUCUAAAGAGACUAAUUACCAUGCUUGACCUUGGGACUCUUAGGAAGGAGAGUAUUUUAUUUUAGAUUCAACUGAAACCACUGUCUGUACCUUAUUUCAGUGGCUGACUCUCAGCAUUUGGUCCAUUGUGUUAAAAUGUCUUCAAUUUCCUACCUCAAGACUAUUAAAGUUAUUUCCUCUGUGUCAUGACAGUAGACCCAGAUCUUCAAACAGAGACAGAAAAGGCUGGUGUUGAGUCAGAAGUUAAAUACCUGCAUUUUACUGAGAUCCUCUUUGGAAACUUCAGCCCAGAACAGAUGAAUCUGGGUUUGCUUGCUGGUGAAAUAUAAGCAGGAGUGAUAUUCUUGUAUAUAUCCGUCUAUGAGGGUGAUAGAAGCAGGAGAGAUAUUCUUGUAUAUAUCCGUCUAUGAGGGUAAUCAAAACUGGCGUCUAUUGUAUGCUCCUUUAAUUUUUGUUUUUAUUCUCUAUUUUCAAGGCUACAUAUAAAUUUUAAAUCUUUUAUCACUUUGCUAUGAAGGUAUUUGUCUGAAGCUAAUGCCUAAUUUUUCAAAUGAUGUUUUUCUUCUCUACAAAAACCAGAUAUUGAGAGUUUUAACAUUCCUUUUUCCUCCAUCUAACAAUGGGUAGUUAUUAGAACAUUAAAAUGAAGACUCACCAUUAUAUUUUUUAAACGUUCUUUCAGGGCCUUCUUUCUUAAACUAUGUUGUGAGAAUAAAUAAAUCAAUUUGAGAGUUUUACAAUUUUAGAUUUUUUGCAAGAUACCUCAUAUUUUGCAUUUAUUUUGCCGUGCUUUAGCAAAGCAUUUUGCAAUGAUGUAAGAAAGUUUCCAGUUAAUUUAUCUGCAUUAAAAUACCAUCUUAAAAUGACUGAAACGCCUUCCUUAUUCAUUGAGUGACAUACCAUUCCUUGAUAUUAAAAAUUGAUUAGUUCCUUUCACUUUAUUAUCCUUCCAUUCACGUUUGUUUAUUCAUUUUAAAUGCUAUUUAGGAAAGCACUUAGUUUUCUUAGAACUAAUCAUGUAGGGGAGACAAGCCCAGGCUUCUAAAUGAGUUUAGAACUGUAUAACCCCAUUAUUGCUCCCCACUAGAUGAGGAUGUGCAGAUUUUGUGCCUUUCCACAAUAGUUACAUGUGGAGUGUUCCAAGCUCCAGAUGAGCUUAUCAGACUGAGAGGAAAUUGACUGGCGCAAAGCGAACUUCCUCGUCUAAAUUUCAUUGGUGUUAUUGUCAUUGUCUAUGGCUGGUUGAUUUAAUGUGCAUCCAGUGUCGGGCCGUGUGUCCUCUAAGGAAGGAAGAUGGAUUUGACCUCAGGGCUGGCUCACUCGACUGCAGAAUCCACAAUGGGAGAUUCGUCUUUCUUUGUAGGCACAUCCCUGGGAAAGUACCACAUCCAAAGGGAAAUUAAAUAUUUUCUUUCCCAUUCUUUAUCUUCGUGGGUACUCCUGGAAGAUUCUUGGUGGCUUCGUGAUUGAGAUGAGAGCCACAGUCCACACCUCUGACACUGGAACCCGUGAUUCCUCGGCUCUCAGCUGCCUGCCUGUGAUGGGCACAGACAGAACAGGUUGCUGACGUGACGCCACAGAAAGAAGUUUGGACUGCAGGUUCAGCUGCUAAUUGUUGGAUUUAAAAAAAAAUAAGUGGACAACAUGAAGACUUAACUAUUUGAUAACACCCAAAAUAUUAGUUCUGGCCAUUCUCACGGAAUCACUGAUCAGUCUCUGCCCAGGAAGAGGACAAGAGGCUGACAAGUACCAUCUGCUCCCUGGGAAGAGGCACAGGGGCAGCCUCACUCAUCAGAAAACCAUCCGGCUGUGAGCACAAAGCUGUCAUCCUCAUCGGUGCGCAGCCACGCCCUGCUCGCCUUUCGUCCUGACCCAUUGUUCUUAGGGAGGACGCCAGCGUACCUUCUGUGGGCCUGUGUCCACUGGAAUGUCCGCCUCAUGUCUCUCGGCUCCCUCUCUGCCUCUGUGUUGUCACAGGCAUUUUCAUCCAUUCUUCUAGAAUAUUCUUGUCCACCUUAGUUUUGUUUGUUUUUCUCGUCUACCUUCUCAGCUCCUAAUAUGAUCAGAUGAUCCCUUCUGAGAGUGUAUUUUUAAAAAGUGGGUCACCAAGCACCCAGUCUUGGCAGAGCAGUUUAUAAUUUCUAAAGGAGACACUAAAGUUCUACUCAUAGCUUCCAUGGAAGGAGAGUUUAUUUCCCAAGCUUGAAAUGGGUGACCUUUGAAUAGGUAUCAACUUGUUUUUAGACCAUCAACAAUAAAAUUACUGGAUUUGCUGUUAUUGUAUAAUGAAACAUGGGUCUAAUCCUGUUCGUAAAAUGAGUUCCCCUGUAGAUGCUACCUUUUCAUACAUGAUCAAGUAAGAGCAUUCUAUAAAUGUCCAGUGCCGUCCUCCCAGGCCUGCAAGGCCUCCGACUUCCUCAGCCUGGUCCAGAUGCGAUUGCUGCUGUCUGGUCCCGUGUGUAAGAGCCCACUUCACUCCCGUGGAUUUGGGCUGGCCUCCCAGCUGCUGCCAGACCCUCCCGUGGGGCUUGAGAGGAUGCUGCGUUCUGCUCACCCUGCUCUGUCCUCAUAUCUUGCCUUGCUGCAGCCCUUUUGGCCCCAAAGUAGGCCCUUUCAUUGAUUCUGGAAAAUUCUGAAUCCAUCCCUCUAAAGCAGAGAGUUCUCCUGGGUUUCAUGGAUCCCCUCUUCCGCAAGUAAUCCAUGGACAGAAUUUGGAGAGAAUCUUUGAACUUAGGUGUAAAGAGAAUUUCAUUUUUAUUUCCACUAACCUCUAACUGAAAUUUAGCAUGAUUUCCAAUUUUGAGUGAAGCACAAACUACAGCAAUUCAUUAAUAAAAGUCACAGACUUUCUAACAUCAUAUUACAAUAAUUGCAGGAAUUUCAAAGUGCCAUUUUCAUUCCUUACUACAUCAAAAUUCUAGUAUUUAGCUCACUGGUAGAUGUUUUAUUUAAUGCAUCACCGGAGAGGCGCAUACGUUACUGGCUUAGAAAAGUUUAUUAGUAGGAUUAUCGUUUACAUCAGUGUGAUUGAAUUCCUUAACUACCGUAUGUAUUUUAUUUUAUUCCAUUAAAAACCAGGGCUCUCUGGGCAUCAUCAGAUUGCAAAAAGGCCCCAAGGUACAAAUGAAAUUUAAGCUUCUCAUCCCUGAAGUAUUUCACAGGUACUUGAAUAUUUUCAGGCAUUAUCCAAAACAAUUUCAACAUAGAUUCUGGGAAAGGAAAAAACUUCUUUCAUACGUUUUCAGAUAAUUACGUAGAUAUUUACAUUUCUCCCUCUCUUGCAGGUAUUUUACUCCCUCACCCUGUAACAUUCUAACUUUAUUUAACGUCUCCUUGUAAAUAGCACCAGGUCCAUGUCUUGACCUUCCUCCAUGCUCUCGUGACCACGGUUGGCUUGUCCAGCUGGACUCUAGAUUGACUGUUCUUUAAGGAGCUGUACAAUGCCAAGACUCAUAAAACUUAAGACGAGAAAAUAUCCCAUAUGGAAUUUACAAAUUCUUCUUCAUCAUUGCGUGUUCAUUAUUGACCAAAUAAAAAUAAGCAAAGAAUAACUAUUUUUUCAGAGAGGAGAAUCAUGUCUUUUCAACAUAUUUAUUCCCUUGAAUGAAAUCUUAAUAUAUCUGUGUCUGCCUUGCUGCAAUUAGCUCCAAGCCCAAACACUGAGA